rnacentral:lncRNA from 1 species
UGGAUAUGCACAGAUUUAGCUGCAAGAAUGUUUAUCGUAAAAGAAAGAAGUAAGGAAGAGAUGAAACUGAAAACAACAUCAAUAUCCAAUAAUCUCACAUGGGUUAAAUAAAAUACAGCCCCGCUGUGUAUGAUCAUAAACAAUGCUGUGAAUGAAUACUAAAUGAUGUGUGACAUUUAGAAUAUAGCCAUGGUUACAAAGACAAAGUUGCAAAGCAAUAUUUACAGCAUGAUCCAUUUUUUGUCUCAACAAAUGCAUAAUUGUGUAAAAAGAAAGUCAAAUGUUAACAAUGAUGAUCUCGUGUGAGGGAAUCUCAGGCUACUUUUCUUCUUUGUAUUUUUUUCCAGUUUUCCAAAUUUCAUGCAAUAAACAUGUGGUCUUGCAAUCAGAAAAAAAAUGUUAUUUUUUAAGGUAGCCACAAGCGUAUAUACAAUGUUAUCCCGAUGAUGUAAAUAUCUAUAUAUUUAGAUAAAAAGAUACUCCAGGCCAGUAUUUUCCCUGGUGCCUCGGAAAGGUUUCUCCUUUUCUUACUUUGUACUCGUCUAGGUUUUACAAAUUCUCCACUGUCUGGUUGUUUUUCGCGCUGAGGCCCCGCCCCACGGCUGCACCAGGCCCCGCCCCUUUGGCUACGGCACUGCUACCGCGCCGCGCGUCGCGCCCUCGUCCUGACUUCCGGGGCGGGACGGAAGAGCGGGCGGGACCUUCCAGUGCAAGGCGCCGCGGCUUCCGCCCGGGAGGUGGGCUGGUCCCAAACGAGGUCGUGCGCGCUUCCUGCGACGGUUUUUUGGUGUCCCCGUCCGGCCCCAGGUGCGCGGGACGUAGAGGCCGGACAGCCGGGAGGCGGAGAUGAAAGGGGCCAGCGGCCCGGCCCCGGGGACACGCGUGCCAGGCCCUGCUGCAGCCCCCGAGAGGUCGGAGGCGCGGAGCCAGGGCUGACCCUGUGCACUGGGUCGAGGGCCACCCCUCGUCUCAGCCUGAGCUGGACGCACCACCUGGGCAGAAGUGAGAUCAGAACCCUAGGCUCCGUUGUCAACCACGGUUACUGAUGUCACCCCUUCUGCACAGGGAGGAAGGUGUGGCCCAGCGAGGCAUCCUCCCGUCCUAGUCAGUGUCUGCCCUGGGUGGGAGGGAUUGUAGGACUCCCUCUCCGCUGGCUGUGACAGCCUAAGCUGGUGAGCUGUUUCUAGCCAGAGUGCCCCUUCGGUGAAGUCUAAAGCCCCGAGAUGUCAACGGCAGCUGCCGUGUAUUGAAAAGCAUGUGCCAGGCCAUCCUGGACUUAGACGUAAAUGUGUUAUCUCAGUACUCCUGGCAGCUGUAUAAACGUGCAUGCCACCCCUUUUCACAGAUGAGGGGCCGAGGUCAGAGAAGCAGCUUGCCAGAGGCCCUGGAGGGCAAAGGGGCACAGCCUAGAUUUGGACCCAGAUCCUUGAUUCUGAAUCUCAGCGGUUAGCCUGUGUGCUGACCCGGCAUCCUGUGAUAAUAGUUUCCCUUCAGUAGGUGUAGCUGGCUGGCAGCUCUGUUGAUUACCUUAGCUCACUGCUGCCUCCUCGAGUUGGAAGACCCGCUUACCCAGAGCUAAGCCCCUCUCCCAACUCUGAAGGUGCUCAGCAUCCCUGAGCUUGACCCAAGUUGCCUGGAGAUUCCCACCCACCGGUUACCCCAGAUCUCCCAAUACUAUGCCUCCCAUUGCUUGGGGUGGGAAAGGAUGCCCUCUGCCCAGGAUCUGAAUGGCCGGUGUGUGGCGCCAAGCCUGCUAGGCCUGUGGUGCCAGGGCUACAAGUGCACAGCAGAACACCCCCAGUGUGCUCACACAGUGUCAAGCCAGCCCCCAGGGUGCCGAGGCUGCCUCUCCCCUCUGUACCCCGUCCUCCCUUGUAAUGGGGAGGGGGCAGUCUGGCUUUUUCCUUGGCUUUCCAGGUUGGUAUAUGCUGGACGUCAGCAGCAGAUAGGACACCCCAGCACAAUGAUCCCGCAGCAAUCCGGACUUUCUAGCCUUCAAGUGUACCUCAGAGCAGAAGCUGCGCAUUUGAUUUUUUUUUUUUUUUUUUUUGGCUCCAUAUUAAAGAACAAAGCAUGGGAACUGGACAGGUCCCUCUGUAAACAGAAAACACAUGUUUUCUGAGAGAAUGGGCCCUUCCUUUCCUGGUUUCAUCUCCCGUGGACAGAGGCCUCCUUAGGCCCGCUGACUUCAAGACCAUGGAGGCUGUGGACCGAGGGCUGAGAGGAGGUGAUUCUUCUUUGCUCAACUCA